rnacentral:lncRNA from 1 species
UUUCCUUUGAUAGGCCAAACAUUACACCAAUCUCUGUAAGUGAUUUCGGCUUGUUGUUGGGGAUUCCAAAACGGUAUUGAAUUAUUUGCCUUUCCCUAGGUUUGAGAAUCCUAAGAAGACCGCGUACAUGCUGCCUCAUCAUCUGUUUAGCCAUGCUGAGGUCUGGAGUUUCUACCUCAGGAUCUCCUGUGAUCUCCUGCUAGAAUCAAUGGUGAUGAGAAAUCCAGUCCAUCACAGAAUACUACAUAGCAUCCAUUUGAUUGAUGAAAAAUUCAGAGAAGCGUUGCUUUUGGUUUAAGAAAAAUGUUUGAAUUCUGCGACUCAUAUAUGAGAAGUUUGUUCCAAACUCUAGCAUAAAUGGCAAGAGAACAGAGAAUAUACAAUGCCCUAGAGACUAGCAUUUUUAGAUAGACUACCAUUUAUGGUUUAAUCCCUGUUGACUGAAAAUUUAUUCCUGGCCCUUGAUUUCAAUGACCAUUUUAUGUUCAGCCCCUUUUAUGCAUAAAUUUUCUCAGGAACAAACAUUACUGUCUAAAAAGGCCUAACUAUUUACAAGAACUAAGUAUAAUUUUUUGCUGGCUAAACAAAAGAUGCAAGUUAACCAGGUGUUAAGUUCCCCAAUAUAAAAUCGAUGACCAAAACAUACCACUUUGUGAUCAGGUCCAUUCUAAUGGAUUUUUAUACAAGAGAAUGAAUAGACAAACUGAAACAUAUAUCUAACAUAAGAUUAGGUGGAUGAAGUAGAGUAUUGCUUCUGGACUGUUAUGUAACCAACACAUGUAUUAACGAAUAAAAUGGUAAUAAGACCCAUUUGCUUGUAUGGUUCAAAAUGUUGGGUUACAAAUGCAGUCUAAGCAAACAAGAUGCAUGUCGCACAUAGAAGAACACUGAAAUGGAUAUGUGGUAAAAUUAGGCCGGAGUGAGAAACCAUUUUGUUAGGUAAGGCAUAUGAGUUGCAUAGAUAAAGCUAUGAAAAGCUAACUGAGAUGGUAUAGGCAUAUGCAACGAGUUCUAAAGGAGAGGUAGCAUUACAAUUUUACCAUUAGGGAGCUAGAAAAAUUGUUAAACAUUCUUAAUUAUACCAUAUUGUUAUUAGUAUUCUUUGAUACUAAACAUCCAGAAUAAUUAUCUAUGAUGAAAUUACAGAGUGCAGGUACCUGAAAAGUGACAUCUUGAUCUGUCCAAGCACAUUCCUGAAUUGAGAUUGGGUUUCUAGUGGUUAGCAACAGAACUUUCAACCUCUCAACACUGAUGCCAACCUGUUUUGCUAUCUCUUCAUUUGUUGGGGCAUGGCCUUCUUGAAUGAAUAAUCUCCUUGCUUUCUUUAUACUUUUCAAAAGUCCAAACACAUUCUCCUGCAACAACAACGUAUAUUAAGGAAUAAAUCAUAUAAAAGAACCAAGAAUCAUUCAAGACAAAAGUCAUACCGGCAAACGAAUGACCCGUGAGUUCAAAAAUAUGGCCUUCCUAAUUGAUUGCCGUAUCCACCAAUAUGCAUAGGUUGAAAAUCUGCAUCCAACUUUUGGCUUGAACUUCUCCAAGCUCUUCAUAAGGCCCCUGCUUCCCUCCUACAAUAACACAAAAUUGUUGAUGCUUCAAGGAUAAAUAAGAGUUUACUAUUAGAAAAAUCAGGAACACAUUUAAAAAUAAAAAAUAUUCAGAUCAAAAUGCUUAUAUAUUAGUCAAAAAUUCCCACCAAGGAAUCUGUCAUAGAGCAAAUAUAGAGUAUUGCCAUUUCUAGCUAUUAACUUGAGAACUAUUAUACAUUACUGAUGCGAUGGAUUUUUCUAUUACUAUAAACCAAGUUCCAGUGCAUUCUGUAACUGCUAGAGGAGAAGAGCAAGCAUUCAUAUCAAGGUUCUCCGUCUCGGUACCUGACCCCGUACCGGUGCCACGCUAGCAUUGUGUCAAUACGAUACGGUACGAAAAUUUUUUGGCAUACUAAAUGUUGGUACGCCAUCCAUACUGGUACCGGUACCAAAGCAGUAUGGUACAGUAUGCCCGGUACUGUCUAGUUCGGUACGGUACAGCAUACCAUAGUUCAUAUUUCAUAUCCCAAAUAGAUGUGAAACUUGCCAACAGAAAGGAGAUUAGCAGCACUUUCAGCAUAUAGUGCAGAGCAAUUCCAAGGACAACACUAGUUCUCAGAAUAUAGCAACAAAAACAAAAGAAAGUGCUACAGCCACUUGAUAAUAAAGAACAAAGAAUGCACACGUAGAGAAAACUGACCAACCUGCAGUAGAUCCAGAAUAUUGAGGCCCUUCCCUUCAUACUGUUUAGCCACAUGUACCACAAGACGUAAAUUAGCAUUAAUCAUCUUCUCUCGACUACGUUUUCCGGACGAAAGGCAACAUUGCAAAGCUUGGCAACUCAUUCCAACAGCUUGAGCCCACUCAGAUAGUGUUGGUUCACGAUCAAAUUGCAACCGAAGUCUCUGUUGAACUUCUUCCAAUCUCAUAAGAUCCUGUUAGCAGAGGAUAGUGGAGCACCUUUUAACAAACAUCACUAUACUUCUAAGACCACACAAAUAAUUAUGAAGCUCGCACAAGAGCAUCCGAAGAAGACAUACCUGUAUCUGAACAAAUAGAUCCUUUUCUUCUUUGACUGUUAAUAGUUGCUUUGUCUCAGGACCCCACAAGAACAAUCUGAGGGGGUCAUUUGGAUCAAGACCCUUAUCUAUCUUUUUGUUCAUGCCUGUGGUCAUCGACUUAGAAACCUCACAGGCAACAUUUUUUGAGUUCUUCCCAACCUUGCGUUUCUUAGACCGCCUCUCCAAUAAUCGUUUUGAUCUAACAGCCACUUCCUCUUUGAUGGAAAUAUCCAUUGUGGAUCCUCUGUGGUUCAAACUGAUUACAUAAUAUAUUAUAGUUCAACUUAAUGGGGCAUAAGAAUAUCAAAUCUUAAGCAGGAAAGGAACAAAAGCAUUAAACUAAUGAGAAACAAACCCAAGAAAAUGUGAUUCAUCAAAUUCAGCUGCUAAGAUGUUGGACUCUUCCAUUAAUGAUGCUGCUUUUCUUGAGGCUCUCAUGGCUCUUUUUGCAAGGGCAAGAACAUCUGCUGGCCUCACAAAAUCUGCACAAUUCUCCAACGACAUUUUGUUCUUCCUUGCUGAUAUAGUUGGUUUUAUAAUCAUCAUGUUGUUCCUGUGAAAGAACUGACAUAGGAAAAUGACAAACUAUAGAUGUAGUUGGCACAGAGAUAUUUGUCCAACUUGCUUGAUCAUGUAGCAUUGGAACCGAAGUGGGGAAGCGAUUUCUAACAUGGGUUCUUGUGGGAUUGGGUGGGGGUGAAGCGAGGAGCCUCCUUCCAGCCUCCAUCUCUCACGAGAAUUUAGAGUUGGGAUGAUGAACGUAUUCUUGUACUAAUUUGUUAUCACUUUUUAUGGGUUCUGUGGACAUUGCUAAUGGAGUCUUCUCCUCGGUGUACAGAGACAGAAAUCUGAAACAAACAAUUGAAACAGGAAAAGGUUGAGAAAUUAAUAAACCAGUGUUAAGAAAUUCAUGUAAAAUACUUGAUCAUAACAUAAGAGAUGAGCCCAAGUUAUCUUACGGAUACCAGAAAACCUGAUGAUAAAGCAAUUGGUGUUCGAAGUAUCUCAGACAUUGGGCAACUUCACACUUUGCCUUCUCUUCAAAACAUGAUCUUCCACUCUCAACUUGCCGGUCAUCCUGUGUUAUUUCUAAGGUUAAAAUUUAAGGGUAUAAAGGCUAUGGGUAAAUGAAAUGUACAAAAAUAAAUGUGAUUCUCUUGCCAGAAAUUUAAUCAAAUCAACCUUUUUGUGAACAUUACGAAGUCAGGGGCAAAAUAAAAUCAGUGGGACUAUAAAAUAGACAUUUCUUAUGUUCCACACUUAAGAAUUUAAAGCAACCAAAGUACAUGUCUAUAGUUUAAAAUUCAUAUUAUUAUGUCACAAAAUGUUCUGGCUCACAAAAAAGGAGAAUUCUCAGUCAUAACUAGAUCAACGUUGUGUGAGAAGUUCUUUUUGUUGUUGUUUAUUGGUAAACUGAUAAGAGCCUGAAUGGCAUUUUAAUAAGAUAUUUUCCUCACCCUCUGAGUUGAACAGUACUUUCUUCACCACCCAGCUGCAAAGGUUUGAAAAGACUCUUCAAGUUUACCCGCUAGAUUCAACUCACAUUCACAAGGGUAUCCAACAUGGUGUACUGCCCCAUACUGCUCGGUACAGGGCAUACGAUACUAUACCGGGAGAAAACUGGAACAAAACUCAACCUCGAAUCAAUACAAACUCUGUACCACACCGUACCGCCAUACUAUGGCAUACCGACUUACACCAAGGCAUAUCGAGGUGCGUACCGAUCCGUACCGAAGCAUAUCGAUCUAUAUCGAGGUGUACCGAGAUAAAAUUGAGAAAAAUGGUUUGGGAGCUAUUUCAGUACAGGAACCAUACCAUAUCGAGGCACCGAUACAGUACCCGAUACCGAGAUUACAGACCUUGGUAUCCAAUAGAUGCAAGAUGAUUAUUUUUUCCUACCUUAAAAGUUGUUCGUAGGCUUACAUGGAAGGCUUCUUGUCUUUGUUAUAGUUACAUUCACAAAGACUUUGAGGAAAAAAAUUUAGUAUCAAGCUAUUUUAUGCAACUUUCCUUGACUCCAAUAAUAAGAAUUCCUUUCAUCAUUGAGCUUGCGAGACUUACGAAGGAAUUAGUAUGUAUGUACAGUCAGUUACAGAUAUAUAUGAAGCUAAUGGGUGCAGAUAAAACAAUUUCCAGAUAUGUGCGGUAAUGAGAACCUAGAGUAGCAAUUCUAGAUAUGCCCCCAGCCCAUGGCUCAGACGGCAGUCCUUCAACUUGUCCAAUGCCCGGCUUUCUAGCUGCCUUACCCUUUCCUUUGAUAGGCCAAACAUUACACCAAUCUCUGUAAGUGAUUUCGGCUUGUUGUUGGGGAUUCCAAAACGGUAUUGAAUUAUUUGCCUUUCCCUAGGUUUGAGAAUCCUAAGAAGACCGCGUACAUGCUGCCUCAUCAUCUGUUUAGCCAUGCUGAGGUCUGGAGUUUCUACCUCAGGAUCUCCUGUGAUCUCCUGAAAAGUGACAUCUUGAUCUGUCCAAGCACAUUCCUGAAUUGAGAUUGGGUUUCUAGUGGUUAGCAACAGAACUUUCAACCUCUCAACACUGAUGCCAACCUGUUUUGCUAUCUCUUCAUUUGUUGGGGCAUGGCCUUCUUGAAUGAAUAAUCUCCUUGCUUUCUUUAUACUUUUCAAAAGUCCAAACACAUUCUCCGGCAAACGAAUGACCCGUGAGUUCAAAAAUAUGGCCUUCCUAAUUGAUUGCCGUAUCCACCAAUAUGCAUAGGUUGAAAAUCUGCAUCCAACUUUUGGCUUGAACUUCUCCAAGCUCUUCAUAAGGCCCCUGCUUCCCUCCUGCAGUAGAUCCAGAAUAUUGAGGCCCUUCCCUUCAUACUGUUUAGCCACAUGUACCACAAGACGUAAAUUAGCAUUAAUCAUCUUCUCUCGACUACGUUUUCCAGACGAAAGGCAACAUUGCAAAGCUUGGCAACUCAUUCCAACAGCUUGAGCCCACUCAGAUAGUGUUGGUUCACGAUCAAAGUGCAACCGAAGUCUCUGUUGAACUUCUUCCAAUAGCAUAAGAUCCUGUAUCUGAACAAAUAGAUCCUUUUCUUCUUUGACUGUUAAUAGUUGCUUUGUCUCAGGACCCCACAAGAACAAUCUGAGGGGGUCAUUUGGAUCAAGACCCUUAUCUAUCUUUUUGUUCAUGCCUGUGGUCAUUGACUUAGAAACCUCACAGGCAACAUUUUUUGAGUUCUUCCCAACCUUGCGUUUCUUAGACCGCCUCUCCAAUAAUCGUUUUGAUCUAACAGCCACUUCCUCUUUGAUGGAAAUAUCCAUUGUGGAUCCUCUGUGGUUCAAACCCAAGAAAAUGUGAUUCAUCAAAUUCAGCUGCUAAGAUGUUGGACUCUUCCAUUAAUGAUGCUGCUUUUCUUGAGGCUCUCAUGGCUCUUUUUGCAAGGGCAAGAACAUCUGCUGGCCUCACAAAAUCUGCACAAUU